GUCUAUGGCCAUGCUACCCUGAACAAGCCCAAUCCCAGCUGAUCUCGGAAGCUAAGCUGGGUCGGUCCUGGUUAGUAUUUGGAUGUGAGGCCUCCUAGGAAGACCAGGAGCUGUAGGCC
rnacentral:rRNA from 1 species